rnacentral:rRNA from 1 species
GCAACAGCUCAAAUUUGAAAUCUGGCCUCACGGUCCGAAUUGUAAUUUGUAGAGGAUGCUUUGGGUCAGCCGCCUGUCUAAGUUCCUUGGAACAGGACGUCAUAGAGGGUGAGAAUCCCGUAUGUGACAGGAAUGGCAACCUAUGUAAAGCUCCUUCGACGAGUCGAGUUGUUUGGGAAUGCAGCUCUAAAUGGGAGGUAAAUUUCUUCUAAAGCUAAAUACCGGCGAGAGACCGAUAGCGCACAAGUAGAGUGAUCGAAAGAUGAAAAGCACUUUGGAAAGAGAGUUAAAAAGCACGUGAAAUUGUUGAAAGGGAAGCGCUUGCAAUCAGACUUGUCUUAAGUUGUUCAGCCGGUCUUCUGACCGGUUUAUUCAAUUUGUGACAGGCCAGCAUCAGUUUCGGCGGCCGGAUAAAGGCCCUAGGAAUGUGGCUCACUCUUCGGAGGGAGUGUUAUAGCCUAGGGUGUAAUACGGCCAGCUGGGACUGAGGUCCGCGCUUCGGCUAGGAUGCUGGCGUAAUGGUUGUAAGCGGCCCGUCU